rnacentral:rRNA from 1 species
UACGUAGGGUGCAAGCGUUAUCCGGAUUUAUUGGGCGUAAAGGGCUCGUAGGCGGUUCGUCGCGUCCGGUGUGAAAGUCCAUCGCUUAACGGUGGAUCCGCGCCGGGUACGGGCGGGCUUGAGUGCGGUAGGGGAGACUGGAAUUCCCGGUGUAACGGUGGAAUGUGUAGAUAUCGGGAAGAACACCAAUGGCGGAGGCAGGUCUCUGGGCCGUUACUGACGCUGAGGAGCGAAAGCGUGGGGAGCGAACAGG